rnacentral:rRNA from 1 species
UACGAAGGGUGCAAGCGUUACUCGGAAUUACUGGGCGUAAAGCGUGCGUAGGUGGUUUGUUAAGUCUGUUGUGAAAGCCCCGGGCUCAACCUGGGAAUGGCAAUGGAUACUGGCAAGCUAGAGUGCGGUAGAGGGUAGUGGAAUUCCCGGUGUAGCGGUGAAAUGCGUAGAGAUCGGGAGGAACACCAGUGGCGAAGGCGGCUCCUGGACCAGCACUAGCACUGAGGCACGAAAGCGUGGGGAGCAAACAGG